UCACUCGUCAUAUAAGUUAAUUCACUUGUAAUUUUGUAAUUUAUACUCUUUUAUUUUUCAUUUAUUUUAGUAUUUUUCACUAUUAUGGAGUUUUGUUUUAUUCUUCUUGUAGCAUCUUAAAAGUUUUGGGCAUGCUUUGCUGACCACAACACUAAUUGCUGGAAUCAACUCUACCAUCAAAUUUACAAUUUCUAAGAGAACCCGGCCAGCUUAGGUCACCGAACCACCACAACGGCGUCGCCGUCCGCGGUGGUCGAAAAAUUAGUAGAAGCCUAUUUUUUGGCUUUUCGAUUCCUCGACUCAAAAAAGACGUCGAUUUUUAUCGGAAUCGGCGGACCUCCUUCCACGGUGGAGUAAAAACGCGAAUAAAGGUACAAAGCCGUUAGACAGUUGGCAUACGGAGCGGUGCGUGAGGGGGAGGUGGCGGCAGUUAGGGCGGCGGCGGCGGCUAAGGUUUUCCCUCCUUUUUUGUUGAUGAAAAUGUUUAGUUUUUGGGCUAUUGGGCCACUAUGGUUUUUGUUGCAUUUGGGCUGUAAUUGGGUAGUGUAAGUUUGGGCUUAUUAUUUGGUUUGUAAAUAUUUUGGACUUGGUCUCAUUUAUUUGUUUUGGUUUUAUUUAUUUGGUUUUAGGUCUAGGCCAAAAUUGACCUAUUACAGCAGGCCCUCUUUGCUCAUUGUCGUGUAACGAGAAUGGAGCAAAGGCUUUAAAGAGGUCAAUUUUGCCUAAUCUUGCCGAAUAUUGACUUUAUGGUGCUUCUUUCUUUUAAGUAGCCUCAUUCCCUUUCACCGCAUCUUCAAGGGUACAGGAAGUGGCUUCAAUCUACUCCACUGCAACUUCAGGGAGAUAAGAUUUGAUAUGAUCUACUCAACUGCAACUCUAGAGAGAUAAGAUCUGUGAUUUAUAGCUUCAAUUUGUUCCACUACAAUUUCAGGGAAAUGAAAUUUGCUAUCUUCAGUCUACUCUACUGCAACAUCAGGGAUAUAAGACUUGUGGCUUCAAUCUGCCCCACUGCAAUUUUAGGGGGAUAAGAUUUGUAUCUUCAACCUGCUCCACUACAACUUCAGGGAGAUAAGGCUGGUGGCUUCAAUCUACUCCACUGCAACUUCAGAAAGAUAAGAUCGGCCAUAAUUUGUAGAUUUAAUCUGUUCCACUGCAAUCUUCAGGGAGACAAGAUUCGUUGUCUUCAGUCUACUCCGUUGCAACUUCAGAGAGAUAAGGCAUUUUCCUUAGUUUUAGUAAAAUUAUGAUUUAACCCCUCAUACUUUUUCCACUUAUUCAAUUUGGUCCUAAUUCAGCCAUUUUCCUUAGU